GGAGAGGUGUCCGAGUCGGCUGAAGGAGCUCGCCUGCUAAGCGAGUAUACGGGCUUAAACCUGUAUCCAGGGUUCAAAUCCCUGCCUCUCCGCCA
rnacentral:tRNA from 3 species